rnacentral:misc_RNA from 1 species
CCGAGUACCGGGGCUUCGGUUCCUACUCCCACCCAAUGUUGACUUACCAGUUGCUUUGGCGGGCCGGUGCAUGCCGCCGGCUUCUAGCUGGCUAGUGCCCGCCAGAGGUCCACAAAACUCGAUUCAAACGUGGGCUCUGAGUAUCUUGAAAAUAGAAGCA